CUUUUUUACCAAACGCUGGUUUCAAGACGAUAUAACUUUAUACGCGUGGUAACAGUCGCUAAACUAUACGUGGUAUAUGAUGUUUAUAAUCGCCAAUGCUCAUCACAUGUACGUAGACAUAGGUACUCGAACGACAUAAUAACAUUAUUGAAAUCGUUAAAUCCAACUAACGAUAAACACACAGCGUGUUACACGAGUAUUCACGCACGGAUCGAACCACCGACGAGUAGGAUGGUCGGUGAAUCUCUGACACGUGUUAGUGUAAAAACGAUUAUAUAGUGAAGUUUGCAGCGAAUACAAAUAUCGAGGGCGAAAAAAAAAUAGUUACAUUCCUCGUUGCGCGUACCGAGAGAUGUGUUUUAUUGUUGUUAUUAUUAUUAUUAUUAUUUUUUUUUUCACGUGUUGUCCCGGAGGAAUGGCGAUUGUAAAUGACCCGACGGUGUUUUGCGGAAAACGAUUUAAUGUAAUUUUUUAAUACACAAAAGAAAUAAAAAAAAACAAAGGCGCGAUGAAAACAAUAUCAAAAAUGACUGGCGAUAGUGGCAGAUCUGAAACUGAUUCAAGUAGCGGGUUGCGGGGAGGAGUGGACUGGUAUCAUAGAUACUGAAUUUCACGAGAAGGGUCCGAAAUUUGUUCAUUACGGGGAUAUUCUAAUGG